rnacentral:lncRNA from 1 species
GUGGUGUGUGCGUGCAUGGGUAUUAUUACCCUUUCGCCUCAGCCCCUUAAUUAUAAAACCAUCCUCGCGCACGACUUUUCCCCCAAAAAAUGUUAGGAUUCUGAAAUUUGGGGAAAAGGCUGGUCGAUUUCGAGUUAUAGCUUUCGAUUCAGAUUCAAUCGAUGAAGAUUUGAUAGGCAAAGUCACGAUUUGAAAGGGAAUCAUCAAUUUCAUGUAGGAAUUCAUCCAUUUUUAGGGUAAUUUCUUGUUUGAUUUGGUUCUAUGUCGAUUUCAGUUUCUAAAUUUUCCUAUUUCUUGUAUUUUUUUUUUAAUUUCAGUUUGUACAAUUAGCUGUGUUUCUUGUAGUUUGCAGAUGUCUACUUCAUCUUCUCAUAGAUUGAGGUGCCCUUUAUAUGGAGCUAAAAUGAAAUUACUUCUAUCAACUACAGAACAACAUUACAACAAAUAUUUCUAGAAGUGUACAAGGAAAUAUGCAAGGCAUGGUUUUGAAUCAGUUUUAUUUUAUGAUAUGGAUAUUGUGGUUAUGCAAAGUGGUUGUAUGAUGUAGGGAAGUGUUGGAUGCCAAGAUUUUGUAUGGUGCGAUGAUGUUGACAACACAAAAGGGAGGGAAGAUAUCAUCUUUAGAGACUUGCAAUGGAUGGAAAACAAUGGUAGCAAGGACAUGGUGUUUCAAUCUGUGCAGCUACAAGUUGGAGAUUUUUGAAUAUGUUGAAAGGAAUAAAAGAGAUGUUGUUGAUCAUUUGUAUCUUGAUUGCUGUCAAUGUGGUUUUCAAUUUAGUUAAAAAAAUGAGAUGCUUAGAUGGUGCUUCAAUUUGGGUAAAGGCAUGUUUUGGUUGUAACAUUCUGCUCAAACGUUUUGGUUGUAACAUUGUGAUCAAAAUUUAGGGAAAGACAUGUCUCAGAGGUUGUAAAUUUCUAGUCAUGAAAUGAAAACAUUCAGCUCUUGUUUUGGUUGUUA